rnacentral:tRNA from 1 species
GUCUUCGUGGUCUAGUGGUCAUCACUCUCGACGCCUAAUGGAGAAGUCCGUGGUUCGAUUCCCGGCGAAGGCG